rnacentral:rRNA from 1 species
UACGAAGGGGGCUAGCGUUGCUCGGAAUUACUGGGCGUAAAGGGAGCGUAGGCGGACAUUUUAAGUCAGGGGGUGAAAUCCCAGAGCUCAACUCUGGAACUGCCUUUGAUACUGGAUGUCUUGAGUGUGAGAGAGGUAUGUGGAACUCCGAGUGUAGAGGUGAAAUUCGUAGAUAUUCGGAAGAACACCAGUGGCGAAGGCGACAUACUGGCUCAUUACUGACGCUGAGGCUCGAAAGCGUGGGGAGCAAACAGG